AUGCACGCUCUUUUUGCAGACGAGCAGAAACAUUGUCUCUUUGCUGCAGCAUUAAGCUGUGUUGAUGUCUCUUCCAAGACGGCUGUGUUUUGAGUGAGAAAGAUGUUUUCCUCAUUUCACGGUGACCAACAACGGUCAUACAUCUGCUGAUCAAGUAACUACAUGGCCUUGAGGUUGAAUUUGAGUUAUUCGAGGUCAAAGGUGAACCUGAAUGGAAGCUGUGCAGGGUUCGAUACGAAAGGCACCCCAGACAAGACUAAGUCCUCGCGCUUGGCGCGCGCGCCCAGCUCGUGAAGCUAGGCAUAUUACCACAGUAGUAGUUAGGCUAGAACGAGGAGAAGAUCUUCGAAUGCUAGAGGCGGACGUAGCUAUGCAAGAACAAGGACUAAAGAAGAAACCAAGACUGAAUUCGAGCGAACAAAAGACGUUCGUUGUA